rnacentral:rRNA from 1 species
UGACAAAAAGUAAUAGCUAUAGAGUCACGAAUGGGGGUGAGCUAAGCAAGAUAUGGUUUGUGUACCAAAUACGUUGUAUAGUAUUUAGAAAAUAUGUGUUUAGGGGUGAUAGGCCUUUCAAGCUCUCUGAUAACUUGAUUCAUAUGAAAGGUAUUAAGUACAUAAAUAUAUUUAAAAAGUUAAGCUUUUAAAUAUUUAUUAAAAAUAUUGUUUGAUUGAACAUAGUAUAAUAGCUAGUUAUUAUUAAACUUAAUAUUACAACAUACGUUUUUAUAGUAAAUAAUAUGACAAUUAAGAUUAUUUUUACUAGUUGAAAAUGUUAAUAUUAGUAGUAUAAGUAAAUGUAUUAAAGGAACUCGGCAAAUAACUUCUCAACUGUUUAUCAAAAACAUAGCUAUAUGAAUUAAUAUAUAGUUAUUUCUGCUCCAUGAUUAUUAAAUAGCCGCAGUACUCUGACUGUGCAAAGGUAGCAUAAUCAGUUGGCUCUUAAUUAGGGUCUGGUAUGAAAGAAAAUAUGGGCAGUAACUGUCUUAAUACAUUUAUUUGAAAUUAGUAAGCAAGUGCAAAUACUUGCACGCAUAAAAAAGACGAGAAGACCCUAGAAACUUGAAAUAAGUUUUGUUGGGGCGACAAAAUUACAUUUAACUAAUUUUAUAAGACAUGACACGAAGUUGAAAGAGUAAGUUACUCUAGGGAUAACAGCAUAAUUUUAAUAGUUUGUGACCUCGAUGUUGGACUAGGUAUUAUAUCUUUAAGGCAAAGUUAUAAAAGGCUCUGUUCGAGCGAAUACACCUACAU